CGGCAACAGCUCAAAUUUGAAAUCUGGCUCCUUUGGGGGUCCGAGUUGUAAUUUGCAGAGGGUGCUUUGGCACUGGUGGCGGUCUAAGUUCCUUGGAACAGGACAUCACAGAGGGUGAGAAUCCCGUACGUGGUCGCCUACCUUUGCCGUGUAAAGCCCCUUCGAC
rnacentral:rRNA from 1 species